AUUUCUUGGCUCGGACAAAUACGUCAAAUAAAUAAAUUCGGCUUGAGGGGAUUUAUUAAAAACGUAAUAAUUAAAAAAUUUGGCUUCCGUUAUAAUAACACAAUUCGGAUAGCAAUUAAACAAGGCACCGACGAGAAAGGAAACUGAAAAAUGUGACUACUAUCCCCGACAGGUACCAAUAUCCAAAUAUCACAAUGAGGAAACUUGCGUAAAGCCAAAUUUUUCACAACGCUGGGCCUCGAGUCCAGCUGCCACCAAAUAAUUCUUGCUGAACGCAAUCGUGAAGAAAUUUCUUUUUCGCUAAAAAGAGGUAAAUAUCAGUUUAAAAGACCUUCAUUUGGCCUCAAGAAUUCGUCCAGCGUUGUUCCAAGGACUUUAGACGACAUCCUUUAAGAGCAGAUUUUCAAAUUCAGCUUUGUCUACCUAGAUGGCGUAAUCAUGUUCUGGGAGGCCAAAAUCGUUCAUAUAUAUAAUCACCAUUAAUAGUACCAUAACGGGUCUAACAGGAUGGGUCUGACGGGAUGCUGUCGUGUUUAUGUCUUUUGAGCUAUGCCCAAAAAUCGAUGCCCUGUAUCGAUAGCAAUACCCAAAAAUCAAACGUUACCCUUCAUACGUUAGCAUUGAGACAAGAUGACCAAAAUUCAAGUGGCGGACAUUUUUAGUGCCACGGAUCCUUACCCCCGAGCACCAUAGGGCACAUACGUCACUCCAAGAUAAUGCGAAACUAGCCAACAAAAUCGCAACAAAUUGUAAAACCUGCGCGAAAGCAAAACACCUAUACAUCUUUACCAACACACUUGUCCAAUUAAAAUAUAUAAACAUUUUUAUUUUUUUUCUA